GGGCGAAUGGUUUAGUGGUAUAACGCUUCCUUAGCAUCUUGACUCGGAAAGAGAUUAGAUUGGAAGAGGUCCGGGGUUCGAUUCCCCGUUUGUCCA
rnacentral:tRNA from 2 species